rnacentral:rRNA from 1 species
CAGCAGCCACGGGAACACGGAGGGUGCAAGCGUUAAUCGGAAUUACUGGGCGUAAAGCGCACGCAGGCGGUUUGUUAAGUCAGAUGUGAAAUCCCCGAGCUUAACUUGGGAACUGCAUUUGAAACUGGCAAGCUAGAGUCUUGUAGAGGGGGGUAGAAUUCCAGGUGUAGCGGUGAAAUGCGUAGAGAUCUGGAGGAAUACCGGUGGCGAAGGCGGCCCCCUGGACAAAGACUGACGCUCAGGUGCGAAAGCGUGGGGAGCAAACAGGAUUAGAUACCCCAGUAGUCCCUGUCUCUUAUAC